GGGGGGGGGGGACUGCCUGCCUGCCUGGCAACGGCUCUUGGGAUUCUCCACCCUCCCUUCCUCUAUAUGAAAUUUCAGUUUCAGGAUCACCAGCGUCCACCCGACAUGAAGAGAAGACCCAGGCCGGAGCUUCCAAAGGCCAACAAAAACCCCUGGGCCCUGGCACUGUCUCAGAUGCUGGCUCUAAGAAAAAGCAGGGCUUUCUGGUCCCCGUCAGCCUCUUGUGCAUGCAGUUUCCUUCCUCUGGUUUUGUAAUCUCUGUUAAUUGCCAGGCACUUUCCAUUGUAUGUGACUUCAUCGUGGACUCGAGGCUCCGUCAGUUCAGCGAGUGGGGACUGAGCCAAACAGUGUUCUGAUCAACUUCACCCUCCAGUGUGUUCUGGGCUCACUCAGCACAAACAGGCACUGCUUUUCCAUGCAUGCGGCCAGCUCCCCGGACGAGCCUGAGGCCCCCUCUGCCGGCCGCCGGCCUCCAUGGCACCCAGCGACAGGCCCCCGCGAGGUGGUGCCCGUCAGGCCAUCUGUACCUAUGGAACUCACUGGGCCAGUCACCGGUGUCUCUCAGAAGUUGCCCCACCUGGUACCUCUCGUGCCGACUACCUGGUACCACUGUCUGAACUCCGAGGGGACAGUUCCCCGGCAUUGGCUACCCAGGACGGUGAUGAAUUCCAAAGAUGAAUUUCACUAUAUUGAACAUGGCCCAUUGCAUUUAAAAUUAAAGAGCUGGGAAGAAACCACCACUCG